rnacentral:lncRNA from 1 species
UCUGUGUAGUAUUUCUGAUUGUAUUCAUCUGAUGAGUUAAGCCUUUUCAACUGAUUUUAAUAGUUCGUUCUUAUGUUGUAAUGAUACACCACUUUCCCGCUUACAUGUUUAACCCCGCCACAUUAUGUAUGUGCCUGUCUUAAAUCAAGAGCCUGUCAUUCAGUGGUUGUCGCUUGUCGAUGUGUUACAUUUUUUUGUUUUUUUUUUUUUACAUAAAUAAGGCCGUUAGUUUUCUCGUUUAAAUUGUUUUACAUUUGCCAUUUCGGGGCCUUUUUAAGCUGACUAUGCGGUAUGGGCUUUGCUCAUUGUUGAAUGCCGUGCGGUGAACUAAAGUUUUUAAUUUCUGUUUCUUUCGGGCUCUUGUGGAGAGGUGUCUCAUAGGCCGGUAUAUCACAUCUUCUUUUUUAUAUUAGUAUUAUUUUUGAAAUGUGAGAAGAAAUCAGACACACGACGAACGCAGAGUAACAACAUAACCUAGAGACCUUGAGCAAAUUGAGCUUAAUAGCUUGUUGCCAAUUAAAUACGGCCUACUGGUGCAAAGUGACAAAGUUGUUAAAUGUUCCUUUACAUUUCUAAUAUUCUCUCUGUACUAUCUUACGCGUGUGAAAGCGAAUUAUUAGAGCUAAUUAUUUCUUGAUAUUUUUGGUCUACACUGUUUUCCAUCUUUACACUUAAAUUUUGACUUUUUUUUUAAGUUUAGUUAUAUAUUUGUUAUUCAAAAAGUACACACAUGUUGAAAGUUUAUACCUUUAUGUAUAAGUAAUAAAGUAUUU